GCCACCUUAGCUCAGCGGUAGAGCAACUGUUUUGUAAACAGUAGGUCCCCGGUCCGAAUCCGGGAGGUGGCU
rnacentral:tRNA from 1 species